rnacentral:rRNA from 1 species
UAGAUGCGAGUCUUGGGUAAAACCAAGGCGCACUGCUCAGUAACACGUAGUUAAUCUACCCUUAGGCCCGGUCUAAUCCCGGGAAACUGGGGCCGAGGACCGGAUAGGUAAGGGGUACUGGAAUGUCCCCUUACUGAACUAAGGAUGAGACUGCGGCCCAUCAGGUUGUUGGGAGUGUAAAGUACUCUCAAGCCGAUAACGGGUACGGGCCUUGAGAGAGGAAGCCCGGAGUUGGAUUCUGAGACAUGAAUCCAGGCCCUACGGGGUGCAGCAAGCGCGAAACGUCCGCAAUGCCCGCAAGGGUGACGGCGGAAUUCGGAGUGCUUUCUCCGUUAGGAGGGAGCUUUUGUGGAGUCUAAAAAGCUCCACGAAUAAGUGGUGGGUAAGACGGGUGCCAGCCGCCGCGGUAAUACCCGCGCCACUAGUGGUGACCACUUAUAUUGGGCUUAAAGCGUUCGUAGCCGGCCUUGUAAGUUCCCGAUGAAAUCCCGCAGCUGACUGUGGGGCUUGUCGGGGAUACUGCAAGGCUUGGGACCGGGAGAGGUCAAGGGUAUUCCUGGGGUAGGAGUAAAAUCC